AAAGUCGGCCAGGCAAUCGCUGGACACGCAAGUGUCGGGAGGAAAGUCCGGGCUCCAUUGGGCAGGAUGCCAGCUAACGGCUGGGUGCUAUAAGUCGCAAGACCCAAGGCAACGGAAAGUGCAACAGAGAAUAGACCGCCGAUGGCGUCGCAAGACGCACAGGUAAGGGUGAAACGGCG
rnacentral:RNase_P_RNA from 1 species